AUUGAACGCUGGCGGCAUGCUUUACACAUGCAAGUCGGACGAGUGGCGAACUGGUGAGUAAUAUAUUGGAACGUACCGAGUAAUCGGGGAUAACCAAUCGAAAGAUUGGCUAAUACCGCAUAUUAUUCUAGCGGCCAAUAUGUGCUUAGCUAGUUGGUGGGGUAAAGGCAUACCAAGGCGACGAUCAGUAGCGGGUCAGAGAGGAUGAUACGCAACACUGGGACUGAGAAACGGCCCAGACUCCUACGGGAGGCAGCAGUGGGGAAUUUUGGGCAAUGGGCGAAAGCCUGAUCCAGCCAGGACGCGUGUCUGAAGAAGGCCUUCGGGUGGUAAAGGACUGUUGUUAGGGAAGCGGUACCUAAAGAAUAAGCACCGGCUAACUACGUGCCAGCAGCCGCGGUAAUAC
rnacentral:rRNA from 1 species